rnacentral:rRNA from 1 species
CGUGUAGGUGGUCAACUAGGUUUGAUGUGAAAUCCCCGGGCUUAACCUGGGAAUUGCGUCGAAAACGGGUCGACUCGAGUGAGAUAGAGGGUUGUGGAAUUUCCGGUGUAGCGGUGAAAUGCGUAGAUAUCGGAAAGAACAUCAGUGGCGAAGGCGACAACCUGGAUCUUAACUGACACUGAGGCGCGAAGGCGUGGGGAGCAAACA